CGUUCUUUCUUCUUGCUUCCCC
rnacentral:miRNA from 1 species